rnacentral:rRNA from 1 species
CCCCCCCAAAAACGAAAGUGUGAUGGGGUUACCCAAAGUGUUCAAUUUGAACUGGGGUAGGUGAGUAAUGUCCCCCCUUUAAAAGGAGAGGGCAAGGCUGGUGCCAGCCGCCGCGCCCUUUCCAGCUCUUCAAGUGGUCGGGAUAAUUAUUGGGCUUAAAGUGUCCGUAGCCGGUUUAGUAAGUUCCUGGUAAAAUCGGGUAGCUUAACUAUCUGCAUGCUAGGAAUACUGCUAUACUAGAGGACGGGAGAGGUCUGAGGUACUACAGGGGUAGGGGUGAAAUCUUAUAAUCCUUGUAGGACCACCAGUGGCGAAGGCGUCAGACUGGAACGCGCCUGACGGUGAGGGACGAAAGCCAGGGGAGCGAACCGGAUUAGAUACCCGGGUAGUCCUGGCUGUAAACGAUGCAUACUAGGUGAUGGUACGGCUAUGAGCCAUAUCAGUGCCGUAGGGAAACCGUUAAGUGUGCCGCCUGGGAAGUACGGUCGCAAGGCUAAAACUUAAAGGAAUUGGCGGGGAA